rnacentral:rRNA from 1 species
AUGAACGCUGGCGGUCUGCUUAACACAUGCAAGUCGAACGGGGGUAGCAAUACCUCAGUGGCGGACGGGUGAGUAACGCGUGAGAAUCUGCCUUCAGGUUCGGGACAACCACGGGAAACGGUGGCUAAUACCGGAUGUGCUUUACGGUGAAAGAUUUAUCGCCUGAAGAGGAGCUCGCGUCUGAUUAGCUAGUUGGUAGGGUAAAAGCCUACCAAGGCGACGAUCAGUAGCUGGUCUGAGAGGAUGAUCAGCCACACUGGGACUGAGACACGGCCCAGACUCCUACGGGAGGCAGCAGUGGGGAAUUUUCCGCAAUGGGCGAAAGCCUGACGGAGCAAGACCGCGUGAGGGAGGAAGGCUCUUGGGUUGUAAACCUCUUUUCUCAGGGAAGAAGAAAGUGACGGUACCUGAGGAAUCAGCCUCGGCUAACUCCGUGCCAGCAGCCGCGGUAAUACGGAGGAGGCAAGCGUUAUCCGGAAUUAUUGGGCGUAAAGCGUCCGCAGGUGGCUCGCUCAAGUCUGCUGUCAAAGACCGGGGCUUAACUCCGGAAAGGCAGUGGAAACUGACAAGCUAGAGGGCUCUAGGGGUAGAGGGAAUUCCCGGUGUAGCGGUGAAAUGCGUAGAGAUCGGGAAGAACAUCGGUGGCGAAAGCGCUCUACUGGAGAGCAACUGACACUCAGGGACGAAAGCUAGGGGAGCGAAUGGGAUUAGAUACCCCAGUAGUCCUAGCCGUAAACGAUGGAUACUAGGCGUGGCUCGUAUCGACCCGAGCCGUGCCGUAGCUAACGCGUUAAGUAUCCCGCCUGGGGAGUACGCACGCAAGUGUGAAACUCAAAGGAAUUGACGGGGGCCCGCACAAGCGGUGGAGUAUGUGGUUUAAUUCGAUGCAACGCGAAGAACCUUACCAGGGCUUGACAUGUCCGGAACCCUGCUGAAAGGUGGGGGUGCCUUCGGGAGCCGGAACACAGGUGGUGCAUGGCUGUCGUCAGCUCGUGUCGUGAGAUGUUGGGUUAAGUCCCGCAACGAGCGCAACCCUCGUUCUUAGUUGCCAGCAUUAAGUUGGGCACUCUAGGGGGACUGCCGGUGACAAACCGGAGGAAGGUGGGGAUGACGUCAAGUCAGCAUGCCCCUUACGUCCUGGGCUACACACGUACUACAAUGCGACGGACAAAGGGCAGCAAGCGAGCGAUCGCAAGCUAAUCCCAUAAACCGUGGCUCAGUUCAGAUCGCAGGCUGCAACUCGCCUGCGUGAAGGAGGAAUCGCUAGUAAUUGCAGGUCAGCAUACUGCAGUGAAUCCGUUCCCGGGCCUUGUACACACCGCCCGUCACACCAUGGGAGCUGGUUUUGCCCGAAGUCGUUACCCUAACCCGCAAGGGAAGGGGACGCCGAAGGCAGGGCUAGUGACUGGGGUG